rnacentral:rRNA from 1 species
AUUGAACGCUAGCGGGAUGCCUUACACAUGCAAGUCGAACGGAGUGGCGAACGGGUGAGUAAUGUAUCGGAACGUGCCCAGUAGCGGGGGAUAACUACGCGAAAGCGUCGCUAAUACCGCAUACUAUUGGAGCGGCCAAUAUCGGAUUAGCUAGUUGGGGGGGUAACGGCUCACCAAGGCGACGAUCCGUAGCGGGUUUGAGAGGACGACCAGCCAAACUGGGAAUGAGAAACGGCCCAGAAUCCUACGGGAGGCAGCAGUGGGGAAUUUUGGACAAGGGGGGAAACCCUGAUCCAGCAAUCACGCUGGUGCGAUGAAGGCUUUCGGGUUGUAAAGCACUGUUGGAAGGAAAGCGGUACCUGCAGAAUAAGCACCGGCUAACUACGUGCCAGCAGCCGCGGUAAUAC